GGUCCCUUGGUGCAGUGGUAGCAUAGCAGACUUCGAUCGUCUUCUUUCGUAGCUAUCUGUCGGUCGUCGGUUCGAAUCCGGCAGGGAUCU